rnacentral:lncRNA from 1 species
UAUGCCUGAUGCAGAAGCCACAGCUCAGGUGAAAAUCGUGAACCUACAGGGGAGGGAUCUCCUUCAAGACAGUUUGGGUGGUUGUCAGGUCAUCCGCCUGCCCUCCAGGGCCACUGCAAAUGGUGUCUUGCUGUCUAAGAGAGUCCCGCAGAGGAGGUAUAUGAACCAAUUCUCUCUUUGGCUUAGGCUGGGUUGUACUGAGUUCUCUCCCUUGCGACCCAAAGAGCCCUAACUGCUGCAGUGACUUAGAGUUUUAUCUUAUAUGAAAGAUCCUUCCUGUAGGCUUCUCUACCGGAUUGGUCAAGAGAGGUUUCCAAACCUGAACCAAAGGUAAUAAGCCAUCCCCCUCCCCCAGGGCUUGUUAGAAAGACUGGCUAGUGGGACUGGCAUUAGCACACACCUGGGAUGUCAACACUUUCUGUCUCCUGGUUCUGGUGGACGCCCAAGCACUUAUCUCUCAUGUCAGUAACAGGACUGUCAAGCAAAGACCUGCAUUCUAAAUUCCAUUUAAGCUCUUUCUGCAGAGCUGGGUAACCAAAGGAGACAGCCAUGGAAAAUAUAUGACUUUCAUUAUUAUGACAUGGAAAGCAGAGCUGCCUAAUUGCUUUUGUCCACUGGUGUAUAAAGAUUGAGACCAGAUGUGUUGAAAAAAAAAAAGGGAAAAGAAAGAAAGAAAAAGGCUCGUGUUGGUCGUUGCUUUGAACAAAGCAGUCUGAUUUCCUCUCUCUCUCUUUCUCCUCCCCCUACCCCCCUGUCUCCCCCUCCUCUCUAGGGGGAGGAUCAUACGAAAGUCUUUUAACUGCUUGUAAGUUUUCAUAACCUCGCUGAUUUUGCUUUUCGCAGAAGAUAAAAUUGUGAAAUUGGCUUGAAAACUUUAUUUUCGCCUCCCUCGAUUCAAAGUGGAAGGGCUGGGCGGGAGUUAGCGGAGUACUUCCUCCCAGGACAGCUGCGGGUCCCAGCGCAGAUCGGACUCUCCUCCUCGGUGCCAGCUCAGCUCCUUAAUGAAGUCUUCACGUGGAGAUCCGAUCCACGGGAAUGGGUGAGAGAAUGGUCGUCUUUAAAUAGAACCGCCCAGAGCCCGGCUUCUGUGUUUCAUUUUCCAGAAGAGCCCUUCAAUCUGCUUCAACGUUUUUUUUUUUCUUUACCUCUCCAGUUAUUUUUAGCACCCCCAGCCACAGAGCCCAGCAGGCCCGCAGAGGCCCUAAUGACGUACCCAGUUGGACGAGUGGAGA